GACGUAGGAUGCAAGCGUUGUCCGGAUUUAUUGGGCGUAAAGAGUUCGUAGGUGGUUCGUUAAGUCUGAUGUUAAAGACCGAGGCUCAACUUCGGGACUGCAUUGGAUACUGGCGGACUUGAGUGUGGUAGAGGCAAUCGGAAUUCCAGGUGUAGCGGUGAAAUGCGUAGAUAUCUGGAAGAACACCGGUGGCGCAAGCGGAUUGCUGGGCCAUAACUGACACUGAGGAACGAAAGCUAGGGGGAGCGAAUGGG
rnacentral:rRNA from 1 species